GCAUUUGCCUGGCAGGAGUUACCAUGAUGACCAAAGUGGUUUUCCCAGGGUAAGGCUUAACUAUUGCACUUUGGGUGUGCUGACUUCUGUAAUUUUCCCAAAUGUGGGAAAUGCUGACUGUUUAAUUUACAGUACUGGGAGAAUGCCCUGUGUCUUUUGCCCU
ensembl:snRNA U1 U1 spliceosomal RNA